rnacentral:rRNA from 1 species
AUUGAACGCUGGCGGCAGGCCUAACACAUGCAAGUCGAGCGCGAAAGUCUUCGGAUGAGUAAAGCGGCGAACGGGUGAGUAAUGCAUGGGCAUCUGCCUGGUAGUGGGGGACAACGUCUCGAAAGGGACGCUAAUACCGCAUACGCCCUACGGGGGAAAGGGGGGGAUCUUCGGACCUCUCGCUAUCAGAUGAGCCCAUGCCGGAUUAGCUAGUUGGGGGGGUAAAGGCCCACCAAGGCGACGAUCCGUAGCUGGUCUGAGAGGAUGAUCAGCCACACUGGAACUGAGACACGGUCCAGACUCCUACGGGAGGCAGCAGUGGGGAAUAUUGGACAAUGGGGGCAACCCUGAUCCAGCCAUGCCGCGUGUGUGAAGAAGGCCUUAGGGUUGUAAAGCACUUUCAGUGGGGAGAAAGGUGAUUCACCUAAUACGUGAGUCAAUUGAUGCUACCCACAGAAGAAGCACCGGCUAACUCCGUGCCAGCCGCCGCUGUAA